CAGGCCAGAAAGCAUUCGAGUUUGACAUCCCUCUCUUUGUAUAUAUUUGAGCAGGAGGCACUAGAGCAGGUCUGCAUGUCUUGCAUCUGACACUGUUUAACCCAGAUGCUAGUUGGGACAGAAAGAAUCCCCCAGAACCUUGGAAUAAACUGGGACCCAAUGAUCAAUGCAAGUUCUACUCAGUGAAUGUAGAUUACAGCAAACUGAAGAAAAAAUGUUGAGACUUCUGA
rnacentral:lncRNA from 1 species